CUUCAAUAUCAUCUUGCAUUACUUAUCACUAUAUACCUGAUGCAUGUUUGUCUCACAUUAACUUAAGUGAUAACAUUUGAAAAGGAUGCUGUACAGAAUCUACACUCAACAGUGCGCCUCUGUCUAAAUAACGUGGUGAUGACGAUACAAUAAAGCCUCUUCUUCAACAUACUGACACAAGACAGUGAGGCCACCAUUAGUGUAUGGACCAGAUAAAUAAACAUAAUUACAUAUGCCAUCAUAAUCUUCAGAAUGUUUCCUCCCAAAUCUUUAAGAAAAAAACAGAAGAAUGCCCAACUUCUAUUCAUUGACCCAAGCAUAAACAUAAGGUUAAUAGCCAUAGCAUAAACUGAGUUACCUCUGGAAUAAUAACUCCUAUGAGAACUACAUGCGAGAAAAGGAAGACAAAUCACAACCAUGGAAAAUGAGGGUACAACCGGCUCAUGCGUAAGACGUCACAGAUCCAUAAUAAUAAAAUAGAAUAUGUCUCUUUGGUCAUUUAUCAGUGGGCUGUGGAGAAGCAACUAAAGUAAGUGCGCUUAAUAAGGGUGUGUACUGGUAGUUAGAAUAUUUGUGAAACUAAUAAAUUCACUGGAUUUGGCAUUUCUCUUAUUUUGUUAUUUUAUCGACAGCUGGAAUAAACAGAACUCCAUCUUCCUAUUUAAAUUGGAUGAGUGUUGAUGCAUUUGUUAGGGCAAUGCACAAUGUCUAACAGAUAUUUGAUCCUUGAUUGUGUGAAUGUUAACAAAUUUCCUUCUUUACGUUUUCUCCCCAGUUCACAUUUCAACAUGCAGAAUGGGACUGGGUUGUCGGGCAAUUCAACAUCUCCAACCAAUUUACACGUUAUCAUCAAGUGCCCACCUUUAUGGCGGUCCGACCGCAUCUGGAUCAUCUUGCUGUGCCUGUGGCUCAUCAGCUGUGUCCUCCCCACGGUGGACUUCUCCAUAGCGGGGGCUCGUCCCGGCGUGGACGUCCUCUCCACACCCAUCUAUUGCAACCCUGAGGUGCUCAACUCUCCCGUCCAGAUUUUAUUCAAGGUCUCCCUGAAUGGGCUUUUCUUCGGGAACGAUGGCAGUCAUCAUCCUCUACACCUACAUAAAGAUCCUCCUGGAGACCAAGACGAUGAGGCAGGACAGGGCCUCUGUGAACAAAGCCAUGCACACCGUGCUGCUCCACGGCUUUCAGCUGCUGCUCUGCCUCUUGGCCUUCACCAAUCCCAUUACAGAAAUGCUACUCCUGCUCAAUGACUAUUGGCUCCCCAGUGACAUCUACUUCCUCACCUUUUUCUGUUUUUGCCUCAUUCCGCGUUUCCUCAGCCCACUCAUCUACGGCUGGCGGGACAAGAGCCUGAGGGACCACAUGAGAAAAGUCACUUUCUGCUGCUCUUAUACUCUCCGGACCCGUGGCAUGCUGAAGCCAUCUAGAUUUUGAAAUGAUUGAUAUAUAUUUUUACCAAAAAAGAAAUCAGUAUUAUAAUAAUAUCCAUAAGAUACAGUUUUUCCUAUUCUUAUUUUGUGUAUACAUGUUUUGAAGAUCAAAGAUGAUGUUAGGACCUUAUUACCGCACCGUGAAAAGUUGUACAUUUUAUUUAAUAGAUGAUUGACAAGUGGGUGGCACAGAUGCCAAUUUUGGAGUGGAUUUUUUAGGCCAAGGCUAAAGUGCACUUUAAAAACCAAAUACAUUUUCAGCUACAAUCUUGUCGCACCGGCAAUAAGGUAAAUGCAUUUGUGUAAUAUGUAACAAAUUAUAUUUGUUCUAACAACCUAGUUAUACCACAACGUAAAGCCUAAUGAUUGCUCAUUCUUCAUAUGAUGCUUUAUAUACUGCUGUUAAUAAAGUCACAAUUGUCUUCUGAAUUAUUAUACUGAGUAAAAUUACAAAUAGUUUUUAAUGUUUAUUGGCCUAUUCUUUCAUUAUUCAUAAUAUAUGAAAAAGGUGGGCCCUUAUUUUUAGUUCCACUGAAAUAAAUAAAGGUGUGCUGGGACAGGUUUUACACACA
ensembl:lncRNA